GUAGGGAAUCUUGGGCAAUGGGCGAAAGCCUGACCCAGCCAUGCCGCGUGAAUGAUGAAGGUCUUAGGAUUGUAAAAUUCUUUCACCGGGGACGAUAAUGACGGUACCCGGAGAAGAAGCCCCGGCUAACUUCGUGCCAGCAGCCGCGGUAAUACGAAGGGGGCUAGCGUUGCUCGGAAUUACUGGGCGUAAAGGGCGCGUAGGCGGAUCGUUAAGUUAGAGGUGAAAGCCCAGGGCUCAACCUUGGAACUGCCUUUGAUACUGGCGAUCUGGAGUACGGGAGAGGUGUGUGGAACUCCGAGUGUAGAGGUGAAAUUCGUAGAUAUUCGGAAGAACACCAGUGGCGAAGGCGACACACUGGCCCGUUACUGACGCUGAGGCGCGAAAGCGUGGGGAGCAAACAGGAUUAGAAACCCCAGUAGUCC
rnacentral:rRNA from 1 species